AUGCCCCGGUCUCGCCCUUUCCGAGCCUUUUUCCCACCUGCUUUUAUCCCUGCCUCCCCGCGCCCACGGUGCGAGGUGCCGCCGCUCCCCCCGAGCCCCCCCCGAGCCCCCAGCGGACCCCUACCGGGCUCCUACCGGGCUCGCAGCCGCCCGUUCCGCGCCGAGGAACCGCCGGUGCCCGCCAGCCCCGUGCCGCACCGUGCCCGGCGGAGGGGAGCGCGGUGCCGGUCAGCCCCGAGCCGCUCCGAGCCGUGCCGGGCCGAGGGGUGCCGGGUGCCCGGUGCCCUCCCCUCCCAGCCCAGCCCCGGGCCGGGCCCCGCCGCUGCCCCGGUUCCCGCCGCCCGCCCCCGCCCGGUGCCCAGCGCUGCCGGCCGCGCGGCGGCGCGCGCCUGUGACGUCACGCGGCGGGCAGGUGGCGCGCCCCCUGGUGGCGGGAAAACCGGGAGGAGGGGCGCGGGGCUGCUCCCGCUGCCGGUCCCGGUCCCAAGCCCGGUCCCCGUCCCUUGUAGGGGGGGGGGGGGGGGGCCCCCGCGCCCCCCCGCCCCCCCCCCCCCCUGGGCCCCCCCCCGCGCCCCCCCCCCCCUGCACCCCGCUCCCCCGGGAUUCCCGGCGUCCCCGCUUCCUCCGCGCAUUCCCCCACUGCCUCCCCCCCAUCUCCAUCGUCUCCUCCUCCUCCUCCUCCUCCUGCCGGCUUUGCCCCCCCCCUGCCCCCCCCCCGCAGACCCUCUCCCCUCCCCUCCCGCUGCACGCACAGCCCCUGCCGGCCCUGCCCUGCCUGCCGGGCUCGGCGCACGCCAGGAGCUGCGGACAGGUAGGCAGCGGGCUGCAUGCUCCAUGCUCCCCCGAGCUUUUUCUUUUCUUUUUUUUUUUUUCCCCGUUGCUUUCUCAGGGAUGGGGAGCAAGGGGAGGGCGGCACAUCCCCACUUUCCGUGCGCCCCGGAGGAGACAAAGGCCGGGGGGUCGGGGAUCCGCAUCCCCACCGCCGGGAUGCUCGCGGUGCCUCGGGUGGCGGCGGCAUCGCGCGGGGCUGGGAGCCGGGGGGUUGGGGGACAACCGGGCACCCUCCCGAGGUGCGAGGUCCCUUCGGAUGUGCCUAUUGUCGCCGUGCCGGGCAGCAGCCUCCCGGUGCUCGCUGUCCCGCUGCUUCGCUCGCCCUCGGGGCGCAGGAUGCGCAGCGCCGUGCGCCUCCCUCCCGGCACGGCUGGGACACGGCGGGUCCCUGCCCUGGCACCAGAGGCACCGCCGUUUGCCUAG
rnacentral:lncRNA from 1 species